rnacentral:lncRNA from 1 species
CUCAGGAUUCAUUCACAAAACUUCCACCAGCAUGCAGAGGGGAUCGAAGAGAAGGCCCCCUUGUUAACCCCACUAAUUACAGCUGAUAUCAUGUUUUGUGAAUGGAGUUGCUUAUUGUGCGUUCAGCUGGCGGGUCACAGGCUUCACCACAGUUGCAGCAAACUGAAGCCAGCAGGUUUCUAGUGCGGCGUUUCUGCACCCAGGAGGGGCAACUCCUCAGCGGCGGACGGGAGCAAAUUGACUGGCAGCCAAGGUCAGGUCUCUGAUUUAGAUCUUGGCAAGCGAAGAUCCACGUCUGUCGCACACAAGCAAGAAGACGGAGCACAAACUCAACCCACAUAUGGCUAUUCAAGCCAGCUCAGAAGUCCAUACUGACACAGAUUACAAGACAUGUACAGAUUAUUUUUUUUUAAAUGGAAGACCACACCAGAUGGUGUCUAUUUCUGGAGAAACAAACGAGUUUACUUAGCUUUAACAGAGCUGCUGGAAUGUUGUUCUAGGACUGGUUUGACAACAUGGAGGAUGUACCAACGCUUUUAGACAACAUAAGCGAUUCUUACUUUGUUUCCUAAAACUCUUAAAUAAAUAUUUAAGGCUGAGCAGACUGCAUGAAAUAUGUUUUAUCACUGGGUAAAUAUAAAUUUAAAACAAUUAACAUUCAAUAACAACGGGGCACAUUUUUGUUUUUGUGUCAUUUUUUAAAAUCUUAACAAAUGUAUUAAAAAAUAGUUUUUUUUUAAUUUCCAAUAUUGAUUAUUCUUAUAUGGUGAUUUUAUUUUUAAAUCCCAGUCAACCAUUAAGAUCAGGGUUAUUUAUAUUUCUUAUUGGUUUAUGGUUCUUGUUUUUAUUUCUGUAAUUUAUUAUCUAAUAACUUUGAUUUACUGAUGCAAAAAAGUCUAAUUUUAGCUGCAUUGACUUGUUCAUGCAUUUAUUCUUUAGAAAGCCUCAGUAUUACAAUACAGGCUAAAGGUCUUUUAUAAAUAGAUGUUGGACUAAAUUGUUGAAGUGAAACUUUUGGUUUAGCAGAUAAUUACUGCUGCAUUGCCCUUUAAUGACCUGUACUCUCUGUGUCAAUCUUUUUUUCAUUUUUAAUCUUUUAUUUUUAAAUGUGUUUUGAGAUUUUGUUGGUGAUAAACACUAUAUUUGUUGAAUUUGAUCUGUGAUGCUGAACUAUUUGUCUCUUAGAACUUUGGACAUUUUUAUCAUAGUUGCUUAAUUUGACAAACUUGUUUAUGCUUAAAUAAACUUUAAUAAACAUUAUAAAAAGGUUUUAGGGUAUCCUGAGAGAUUCAGUAAAUGGUUUAGCACAGCAAACCAAAUAGUACUUUGUGGUAACUGACUCAGUGACGCCACAGACUUUUGUAACCAUUGACUGUAUAUAGAGAACUGGACAGAGUGAGUGAGACGUCCCAUGGAAAAUGUCUUACUUCCUGUUCCAGCCAAAUAAAGUCAAUUCAGUCACAUUUUUUGCAAUAUGUCCGCUAUGUUGGAAC